AUGUUAAAUUGUAUAUCAAUUGAAAGCUGAUGAGUCAUAGACUUUAUUUCUAUACAUAUUUAUGCGUUUUUUUUAUUACAAUAUUUUAAAUCUGAGUGUCUCACAAUACCUACACUUAUAAACGUGAAUGCCCCGGUUUAUGAGACAUUUUACUAGGUGUACCAUGUAACACGGACAUGUGUAUUUCGGCUUGUCCCGAUUAAGUGAGACGGUGUACAUUUAUAAGAUUUUAUAUUGUUAAUAUGUUAUAUUAAUUAUAAAAAUAGUGCAAUUAUAUGUCAUAAAAUAUUGGCUGUUAUUAAAACCUCAAAUAUUUUUCUAAAAGCUAAGUAAAAAGUAAUUUAUAAUAAAAAGCUGAGAUAAUGAGGCAUAAACAAAAUCCUAAAGAGACAAAAACUCAAUCAUCAAAUUCAACCAAAAAAAAGUGUUGUGUUCCAAUGUGAAUAAUAAACUGAAGAAAAAAAAGUUAAAAGGCUUAAGUAAUUAUGAUUCGUCAAACAUAGAAAAAGCUUUAAAAGCAAUAGAAGACACAGAGAUGUCCUUGAGAAAAGCAGCUGCUGUUUAUGGAGUACCGAUUGCUACCUUUGUUAGAUGAAAAAGUAUUAGUCCUGAGAAGGCAAAAAUUAGAACUGAGCCAGCGACAGUAUUAUCUUUAAAAGAAGAGGAUGUUAUUGUUCAGUUGUUAUUCUACAGAGCAGCAAUAGGGUCACCUGUGACGAAAACUGACUUAUUAAAGAUGACAAUCAUUCUAAUGUGAUAAACUGUGAAUAAAAUAAUUUAACUAAUGAUGGACAACUUUUUACGGUUAUAUAUGAAUCUAGUCAAGUUAGUCUUCAAGAAUCAUUAACUGAUAGCAAUAAUGUAAUACGGUGCCCUUCUAAAGACUUUAGUGUCUUUAAUUAAGAUGAUCCUCUCCACAUUCCUUUCUCAAUCCUUUCCUACCAAUAUCCUGUUACGUGAAUGUGGAACGCUUCA